rnacentral:rRNA from 1 species
UAAGCAUAUCAAUAAGCGGAGGAAAAGAAACCAACAGGGAUUGCCCUAGUAACGGCGAGUGAAGCGGCAACAGCUCAAAUUUGAAAUCUGGCUCUUUCAGAGUCCGAGUUGUAAUUUGCAGAGGGCGCUUUGGCGUUGGCAGCGGUCCAAGUUCCUUGGAACAGGACGUCACAGAGGGUGAGAAUCCCGUACGUGGUCGCUGGCCUUCGCCGUGUAAAGCCCCUUCGACGAGUCGAGUUGUUUGGGAAUGCAGCUCUAAAUGGGAGGUAAAUUUCUUCUAAAGCUAAAUACUGGCCAGAGACCGAUAGCGCACAAGUAGAGUGAUCGAAAGAUGAAAAGCACUUUGGAAAGAGAGUCAAAUAGCACGUGAAAUUGUUGAAAGGGAAGCGCUUGCAGCCAGACUUGCCUGUAGUUGCUCAUCCGGGCUUUUGCCCGGUGCACUCUUCUGCGGGCAGGCCAGCAUCAGUUUGGGCGGUUGGAUAAAGGUCUCUGUCAUGUACCUCUCUUCGGGGAGGCCUUAUAGGGGAGACGUCAUGCAACCAGCCUGGACUGAGGUCCGCGCAUUUUGCUAGGAUGCUGGCGUAAUGGCUGUAAGCGGCCCGUCUUGAAACACGGACCAAGGAGUCUAACAUCUAUGCGAGUGUUUGGGUGUCAAGCCCGAACGCGUAAUGAAAGUGAACGGAGGUGGGACCCCAUUAGGGUGCACCAUCGACCGAUCCUGAUGUCUUCGGAUGGAUUUGAGUAAGAGCAUGGCUGUUGGGACCCGAAAGAUGGUGAACUAUGCUUGAAUAGGGUGAAGCCAGAGGAAACUCUGGUGGAGGCUCGCAGCGGUUCUGACGUGCAAAUCGAUCGUCAAAUUUGGGCAUAGGGGCGAAAGACUAAUCGAACUAUCUAGUAGCUGGUUCUGCGACU